rnacentral:lncRNA from 1 species
GAAGCGGGAGGGUGUUUUUUUUGGAGGGGAAACCAGGAAUGGGGAUAACAUUUGAAAUGUAAAUAAAAUAUCCAAUAAAAAAUAAAAUAAAAUAAAUGUAAUUCACACCUAAUUCUGCAAAUGUCAAAUGAGGUUUAUGAAUAACUUGAGACAAUCUCAUUUAAAAGUAGAUGAGCUCCUGUCUGGAAGCUGUGCUUCUCCCCAUCCUCUGCCUCUGACCUUCCUUCCACCCCAUCCUCAGUGAUGUUUCUUGAAUCGAUGGGGAUGAUGGUGGUGGUGGUAGUUUUGAUAUAGGUGUCCCACUUAGAGCUUUGGGUCUACAGCCACUUUUUCUCAGCACUUGGGGCAGUUGUAUAUUCUGUCUUCUGGACAGGAUAUGGCAUGGUCCUCAUGAACUUGCAGAGCUAUGGUAACCUGCAUGUCAAGCCAAUCAACAUGCCAGCAUGUAAAGAACAUGAAAGUAUGAGGCAUUACCCCUACUUGAAGAGCUUGUGGCACUUCAUGGCCACAGGGCAGGAGGGGCAAUCACUAAUCUUCUGUGCCCAUGCUCUAGUAUGUAAUUCUGCAAAUAUGCUCAUGCAAACAAUUCUAUUCAAAUUCCAUGGUUCAUUAACUUAUAAGAGACAUGAGAAUAGGUAGACCUUGAUAGGAGGAAGAAAGGUCCAGGGAGAGAAAAGAGAAAUUAUAGGGAAUGAAUAUAAUCAAAUGCACUAUAUUCAUGCCUGGAAUUUUCAAAGAAUAAAUUAAAAUAUUUGUAAAAAGCAGAUUAUGAAACUGCUUAUCUCUUUUAAUGCUAAUUCUGUACGAGUGACAUAGAAAAACUUGAAUGUGGAGUAUUAAUAAAAUAUUGAUUAUUGGUUCCAGUGGUUUGGAACCCCAGCAUCCUUUUUAUAUGUUCACAAAAGUUUGUAACAUAAGUAUUUAUUACUUUAAGUGGAAAAAAGAUCAUGGAAUCAAUGUGUUAAAGAAACAACUGAAUAUACUUUUGAGAAUCAGAGAAUGUAGAACCCACAUUAGUAUCAUCUAACACUUGAAUGUGGAGUAUUAAUAGAUUUCCAAUCAUUGGGCAGUCUCAGUGAACUGCCUCGGGAUUAUUUAUUUAUUUAUUUAUUUAUUUAUUUAUUUAUGGUACCUAGGGUUCUAUGAACUAUUCAUUCUAACAGUGCUAGCUUGCAGAAUGAAUAAGGGCCUCAGAACUAUAAUCCACAUUUUUUCCCAUUUCAUUCCCUUACUAAUAAAAGGCACAGUGGGAAGUAACAUUGGAUCUACUGAAGUAGCUUAUGGCACAGGCUUUCAAUCUUGUCUGAGUCUCUAGGAAGGAAUGAAACUUCCUCUGAGUUUUCUGUAAUUUUAAAUUUCCAUAAAAUAUUCUCAUGCACUCUAGAGAUAUUGUGGGAGGUUUCCUCACAGAAAACACGUGCUUAUGUGUCGCUCUUCCCAGCAACUCUAGCUCCAGUUGAAACACCACACAGGGCUGGUCUCAGAGCAUGACAACUAAUACAAAAUCAUCUCACAGGCUCUUAAGUCCCAGGGUUGGGGCUGCUCUGUGGUUCAUCACAAUUGGGUUUGGAACCAUACAGCCAUUAAAGGGACUAUUGGUAUCAUAGCUCUUUCCUAUGGUAACUUUGAGAAGACAUUUGAAUGUGGGCCUGGUUAAUCAUGAUCUGUAGAGGUAUUACAACUUCCAUGGCUACUUUCUUAGUUGUGGGUAGUUAGAGAGUAAAAACCCCAUCAUAAUGGUAACUUCAAGACAGUUAACAACUUGCAUACUAUCGUCCCUGGAAGUCUAUAUGUGACCCUUUUGAUAGUAUGUUUUCCCAUGGUUAACACACAUCCUUCACUUCCUGAUAUUUGCAUUCGAACAGACGACCAAGCAAAAUACAUGAAUGUCAGUAAUCAAGCACUGACAUGCUCAGUUCAGGUUUUUUGUUUAUUUAUUCAAUACUUUCUGAGUCAGCCUGUGCCAGAUGCUGAGGUGAGUGCCGGGACCAUUGCAAAAUACAAAUCAGGUGAAGUUCAGCAUACAGGAAACCCACAUUUUCCUAUAUUACUAUAAUGUGUAUAACUCAGAAGGCCUUAGCUGUGGUUAGUUAUAGGUGUCCUUGAGCCAACCUAGCAUAAUCAACCCAACAUCAUUCAAAGCAUAAUUCAGGGAGUACUCCUAAUAGAAUAACUUUGGACACCUUUUGAAAAACAACAUAGCUAGGGUUAACCUUAAGAAAAAGCAGGCACACUGAAAUGUAGGAAGCACCUCAACUUUCUUUCACAUGAUAGAGCCGCAACAAUGAUGAGCAAUGGCAAGUUAUCCCUAAGCAUGCCAUAGUGACACUUAUUUCUUAACCAAGAGCCAUCCAAUUGGAGAUGUCUUACUCAAUGGGAGAGAAUCUGUGCCUAUACUGUAAACCUAGCCAACUAUUCAUGGCUGGUAAAGUCAUAAACCCUAGAAGAGGGUAUACUGCUGCCAUUUUAUUACACCAACAUAACUUAUAACUGUGUUCUAAAAACUUGUUCUUAUACCCACAGGUAAAUAUAGUGUCCACAUGCCACCAAUGAAGCUUCUUUUUGCAGCAUAUAGAGACUGCUAGUGAAAGUCAUAACUUAUCAAAAUGUAGAGAUUAGGUGGCCAGGCAGUUACCAUUUCCAAUGAGUAUACCUACAAUGCAGUCCUUAGACCUAAGAGUCAAGGAACAUCACAGAAGAGGGGACAAGGGACCAGGAUGUGCAAGAGAGCACCUUCCAUAUCUGACAUAGAUGUUGCAACCAUGAAAUAUUAGCACAAUGGGUGUCUGAACAAGGUCUUCAUGAUGACAACAGGAAUUAUAUGGCUCUGCAGAUAGGGAAAAAUCUCAUAAGGUCCUACUCCUGGGUGAUAAGAUAGAUAUGGCCAACCAAUGACUGCUAAGAGAAGGCAAAUCUAUUUUCCUCAGAGACAAACCCCUGAUAGGUCAUCUGAUUCCAAGUGGUCAGCCCUAGUCACAUACACAUAAGCAACACUCAAUGAACCUAGCAGGAUCUAACAGGUUUUAAUUAUUUAUAUGUACAAGUAUGUGUACAUGUACACAUUUAUGUAUGCAUAUAUGUAUAUGUAUGUGUGUGUAUGUGCAUGCUUGUGUUUUGGUUUGCUUUCUAUAGCUGUGAUCAACACUAUGGCCAAAAUCUACUUGGGGGAAAAGGAGUUUGUUUUCUCUUACACUCCCAUAGCCCAUCAUUGAGAGAAGUCAGGACAGGAACUCACAGAGGAACUAAGGCGUGGAUCAUGGAGAGUGAUACUUAAAGGUUUGCAUUCACCAAGACCAGCUACCUUUCUCAUCCCUCCCAGGCACGCCUGUACAGGUGUGGUACCACAUACUCUGAGCUGGACCCUCCGAUAUCAAUUAUUAAUCAAGAAAAUGACCAAAGCUUUUCCUACAGGGCUAAUUUGAAGGAGGCAUUUUCCCAAUUGUUCUUUAUUCCCAGAUGAACCUAACUCAUGUCAAGUUGACC